AACAAUAAUUUGUGCAGAUUUUCAGAUGCUAAUGGAAUAUCACCCAUAUACAGGGGUCUAGGAGCAGCAAGAAACGGGGGUGUGGUGCUCAGGAGGGCUGGUACAGCUAAAGGCACAAGGUGGGGGUGUUCCAAUGAAGGGAGGGUUUUGGAGAGACAAAUUCUUGGCAAUUAGGACGACAUGGGUGGAAGGAACUCCUGACUGAGGAAUGUCGGUGUUGAAGGCUUGUGGAAAAUAAGAGAAAAGAGAUGGAGAGGAGAAGAAAAAGCAUGCAAAGAGGAUGACUCCCACAGGAGUAAAUAUCAGAUAAAUCAAGGGGAAAAGAGGACGUGUUAUAACAGGCCAGCCAAUGGCUUCCUAGAUGGCAGAGCUGGAGUCGAAUGAAGGCAGAGAUGAGGUCACCGGGUUUAGUAAUCAGGAAAUGAGUGGUGACCACUGAGUGAGCAAUUCAGUAGCAUGAAAUCAGACUACAUUUUGUUGAAUGCCUGACUGCAGUGUGUUCAGAAGGGAAAAGAGAGCUUUGAGGGUGAACGCCUGUUUUGAAAGGUCCGCCAGUAAAAUGGCGGUGGGAAGUGUGUGUCCUCUUGUUAAGAGGAGUCUGCCAGACAGUAGAUAUUCAGUGUAACAGAGGACAAAGACCAAGUGGGUGAGUAGUGAUCCUGCCACAGGAGGGCAUCAAAGAGACUAUCGGCUCACCAACUUCAGACCACAGACAAUCCUCAAAGAGAAACAGCCCCAAAUACUGAUGUCUUGUUAAGCUCAUCAUUCAACAGUGAGCCCAUAAAAUGAUUGUACUGAAAACCUGUGGAGCCACUGGACACACUCCAAUGUUCUGUCAGAGAAAUGUACCACAUGCUUUCAGGUGGCCUUCAGACCACUGGGAAGCUGAGCUUCAUCAGGAGAGAUGCCUAAACUGCACCAGUACAGGAAGCCACUUGGGUAAUCUGCAAUUAUCCACUCAGUCGCUGCAUUUUUUGUUUUGCCUCGUCUCAACUCAGCCAGCCCACAUCUCAACAGCAAGCACUCGGAAUGAACCCAGCUCUGGGCAUGUCAGCCCUGUCUUCCACACAAUGCCUUGCUUCCGGUCCCGUUCCUAUGUCACCUUCUUGAUUUAGCUCCCCUUUAUCAGCCCCACUCCACUCCUCAUUACCUGGCCCUCGGGAGCAGCCAAUCCCAGCACCCAGGAUAACUACACAGGCAGCUGCAGGCCUGUCCAGAGCUCCCAGUCCGCAAGCCCAGCCCAGAGCCAGGCCUGAGUGCGUCUCUCCCAGUGGGAAGCUGUAUAAACACACGUGGCCUAUGAGUGUGAACGUGAGAUGGCAGCUCUCCAUAUCACCGUCUCCCAAGGCCAGAGUUCUGUGAGUGCUUAACAAACACCAUGUACGUUAUCAAGGAGUUUUCUGAAGCAAAGCAAGCAGUACAGCAUCAAUGCUGCUGAGAGGGCAACUAAAGCAGAAGAUGAGGCAAGGAGCUUGGGUGUGAGGUCUCAGACAAACCAACUAACAAGAUGACCAUGGGGUAUUUAAGGAAUGUAGAGCAACAAUGAGAGCAAUGAGAACCAAGGAAGUCCCUGAAUAAUCAUGGUCAAAUGUUUAAAAUAAGGAAAAGAGGGGCACCUGGGUGGCUCAGUCAGUUAAGGGUCUGACUUUGGCUCAGGUCUUGCAGUUCAUGGGUUCGAGCCCCGCAUCGGGCUCUGUGCUGACAACUCAGAGCCUGGAGCCUGCUUCGGAUUCUGUGUCUCCCCCUCUCUCUGCCCCUCCCCCAACUUGUGCACGCUCGCGCUCUCUCUCAAAAAUAAAUAAACAUUAAAAAAAAAAACCUUAAAAUAAGGUAAAGAAACGGUUAGUCUGCUAUAUAGGCAUGAGCUUCAUCUUGAAAUAUAAAGUGCCUACAAGAUGCUUUUAGUUCCUCAGUUAUUCCACAGUGAGUACCAGUUUCAAGCAUCAUUAAGCAUCAUUAGUCAGUAUUAUCCCUGUUUUUUAAAAGAAGGUCUAGAAGGCUGACUACAACAUCUCCUUGUUCCUCAUUUCUGGGAAGUUCCUGCCACGGUCUCUCAAAGCCAACUAUACACGACUGUGCCAAGACCCACUCGAAAAAUCACAAGCUGGACUAAAGUCCCAGGAUAGUACAGUAGUAAUUACUUCUCCUUUCUGAGCAGUACACUGAAACUUCUCCAAGGCACUAUCAACUACAGAAAAGAAUUUAAUAUAAAGCAGUUCCAUCUUGAUUAUCAUUCGAAACUGUUUUGAUCAUUAAGCGAAAAGGAGGGGUUACUUUCCCUCUUACUGACCUCAAGGCAUAAUGAGGCCUGAGCGAAAGGCAGAAGUUCAGAAACACUACAAAGACUUCAGAUCAACUUUUAAGUGCAUCCAGUGUCAUCAACAGUUGUUAAGUAUACUCUCCAAAAAAAGUCCUCACGGUCCUAACAAAACGCCACAAACAAACUGGUGGUCUGGUCUCCAAGUCAUGGCUGAUCCUGUUCAUUUCCUGGGCUCAAGUCAGUCCUGUGUCAUACACCCAAUACAUUCAGUGCUCACAGAUCAACAAAGGAACUGACAGCUGGUGUCACAAUUGCCACAUUUCAAGUAGAGGUCAGGAGGGAAGUCUUGAUUUGUCAUAUUUGGGGAUACAAGUUUUUUUUGUUGUUGUUGUUUGUUUUGUUUUUUAAUUCCAUCCUAGUGUCAUGCAGGGAAUUCUAUGAUACAGCUCACUGAGGGUUCAACCUUCUAAUUAUGCAUGAAACUAGAAAUCCAGACCUAAAGAGUGCUGGCCCCUCUUCCAAGUGAGCCUAACACUCAAUAUUCAGCAUUCUGCAUUAACACAUUGAAAGAAGUGGAACACCAGCUUCAGCCAAAGGACUCCUCUAGACAAAGGUUUCAUUGACAAUAAAAGCAGGGACCUUCCACUGCACUCUGUUAUUAAAGUAGAACAGGAGCCAAUGAUGUGCUGACAAAGCAGAAAAUUGAACGGAGAAGGCUGACAUUUAUUUUAAAAGGCUAAGAGCUGAAAUUUAGGAUAGAGACAAAGGAAUACAGAACUAAGAAUCUAAUUUCUAAAUGACUGCCAGUCUUGAAAUCAAUGUAAACAUUGUAGCUUCCUCUUAAAAUACUUUUCUCAUGACCUACAAGGGUAAUAUGAAAGGCAAUAGGGAAAGAAACCCUGCCUUUAAUUUUUGGUUUGGUUGUGCUUGGCUACUUACUCUGCCUCUCUUCAUCUGUGUGACUUUGAAUAUGCUUUUUGCCCUUUUUAAUUUUUUCAUUACAUUCUCCCUGAAAAAUUCAUUACCAAUGUGGUUAAAGACCCAUUCGACACACACUUUCAAUUUCAGUGCCUUCUUCCACCUCUCCAGCGGUCAUCACCAUUAAGUACUGAGAGUUCAUCCUUUUAAGCCUUUUUCUAUGUGUAUGUAUGAACCUGGAGAAAAUAUACUGUAUGGCUGUGUAUGGACUUUUACAAAAAUAAAAAUACAAACAGUUUUGUAUCACAUGUGUCUUUUUCAUGUAUCACAUGUGUAUCACAUGUGUGUUAUGUUUUUCCUUCAAAAAUCUAUUGUGGAGCUUAGUCCCACAUUAGCACAUCUAGAUCUAUUUCAUUCUUUUUUUCUUUUACUGUGCAUAACAUAAUAGAUGCAAAACUCUGAAGGAUAUUUAGUUAUUCACAUCCAAAAGAAACACUUUUGGUUUCUUCUGUAGUUUCUAUACUCACAACACUUCUGACACCUCAUGUGGGGGG